rnacentral:rRNA from 1 species
GAUGAACGCUGGCGGCGUGCCUAAUACAUGCAAGUCGAGCGAACAGACGAGGAGCUUGCUCCUCUGACGUUAGCGGCGGACGGGUGAGUAACACGUGGAUAACCUACCUAUAAGACUGGGAUAACUUCGGGAAACCGGAGCUAAUACCGGAUAAUAUAUUGAACCGCAUGGUUCAAUAGUGAAAGACGGUUUUGCUGUCACUUAUAUAUGGAUCCGCGCCGCAUUAGCUAGUUGGUAAGGUAACGGCUUACCAAGGCAACGGUGCGUAGCCGACCUGAGAGGGUGAUCGGCCACACUGGAACUGAGACACGGUCCAGACUCCUACGGGAGGCAGCAGUAGGGAAUCUUCCGCAAUGGGCGAAAGCCUGACGGAGCAACGCCGCGUGAGUGAUGAAGGUCUUCGGAUCGUAAAACUCUGUUAUUAGGGAAGAACAAAUGUGUAAGUAACUAUGCACGUCUUGACGGUACCUAAUCAGAAAGCCACGGCUAACUACGUG